UACACUCCUACGGGAGGCAGCAGUGGGGAAUUUUGGACAAUGGGCGAAAGCCUGAUCCAGCAAUGCCGCGUGAGUGAAGAAGGCCUUCGGGUUGUAAAGCUCUUUUGUCAGGGAAGAAACGGUGAAAGCUAAUAUCUUUUGCUACUGACGGUACCUGAAGAAUAAGCACCGGCUAACUACGUGCCAGCAGCCGCGGUAAUACGUAGGGUGCAAGCGUUAAUCGGAAUUACUGGGCGUAAAGCGUGCGCAGGCGGUUUUGUAAGUCUGAUGUGAAAUCCCCGGGCUCAACCUGGGAAUUGCAUUGGAGACUGCAAGGCUAGAAUCUGGCAGAGGGGGGUAGAAUUCCACGUGUAGCAGUGAAAUGCGUAGAUAUGUGGAGGAACACCGAUGGCGAAGGCAGCCCCCUGGGUCAAGAUUGACGCUCAUGCACGAAAGCGUGGGGAGCAAACAGGAUUAGAAACCCCUGUAGUCCCAU
rnacentral:rRNA from 1 species